rnacentral:rRNA from 1 species
UACGUAGGGGGCAAGCGUUGUCCGGAAUCAUUGGGCGUAAAGAGCGUGUAGGCGGCCAGAUAAGUCCGCUGUGAAAUCUCGAGGCUCAACUUCGAGCUGUCGGUGGAAACUGUCUGGCUAGAGUCCGGAAGAGGAGAAUGGAAUUCCUGGUGUAGCGGUGAAAUGCGCAGAUAUCAGGAGGAACACCGGUGGCGAAGGCGGGUCUCUGGGCCGAAAUUGACGCUGAGGAGCGAAAGCGUGGGGAGCAAACAGG